CGCUCAUGCACGAAAGCGUGGGGAUCAAAACAGGAUUAAGAUACCCUGGUAGUCCACGCCUGUAAAACGAUGAUUACUCGAUGUUGGCGAUACACAGUCAGCGUCUGAGCGAAAGCAAUAAGUAAUCCACCUGGGGAGUACGAUCGCAAGAUUGAAACUCAAAGGAAUUGACGGGGGCCCGCACAAGCGGAGGAGCAUGUGGUUUAAUUCGAUGAUACGCGAGGAACCUUACCUGGGCUCGAACGUAAGAUGACUGUAGGUGAAAGCUUACAUCUCUUCGGAGCAUUUUACGAGGUGCUGCAUGGUUGUCGUCAGCUCGUGCCGUGAGGUGUCGGGUUAAGUCCCAUAACGAGCGCAACCCCUACCUUUAGUUGCCAUCAGGUCAUGCUGGGGACUCUAAAGGAACUGCCUACGCAAGUAGUGAGGAAGGCGGGGAUGACGUCAAAUCAGCACGGCCCUUACGUCCAGGGCUACACACGUGCUACAAUGGCCGAUACAGAGGGCAGCUACCUGGUGACAGGAUGCAAAUCUCCAAAGUCGGUCUCAGUUCGGAUCGGAGUCUGCAACCCGACUCCGUGAAGUUGGAUUCGCUAGUAAUCGCGCAUCAGCCAUGGCGCGGUGAAUACGUUCCCGGGCCUUGUACACACCGCCCGUCAAGCCAUGGAAGCUGGGGGGACCUAAAGUCGAUAACCGCAAGGAGUCGCCUAGGGUAAAACCAGUGACUGGGGCUAAGUCGUAACAAGGUAGCCG
rnacentral:rRNA from 1 species